rnacentral:lncRNA from 1 species
UGAUGCCAGGAAUCUGACAGUGGUUUUCACAUCAUCAGAUGAAGGAGGCUAGAUUACUACCACUUCCAAAGAAGCCAAAUUCGGGGAUGAGAUCUUAUUUUGGAAAUGAAGAUGGCUUUUAGAGAUGAUGUGCAGUUUUUGAGAACACCAGUUUAUUGAGGGCAGAUAUUGUAUCAAACCAACUGCAUGAUCUUGGUACCUAUCUCACUGGCUAACAA